AUUGAACGCUGGCGGCAUGCCUUACACAUGCAAGUCGAACGGCAGCACGGGAGCAAUCCUGGUGGCGAGUGGCGAACGGGUGAGUAAUGUAUCGGAACGUGCCCAGUCGUGGGGGAUAACGUAGCGAAAGCUACGCUAAUACCGCAUACGAUCUAUGGAUGAAAGCGGGGGACCGUAAGGCCUCGCGCGAUUGGAGCGGCCGAUAUCAGAUUAGGUAGUUGGUGGGGUAAAGGCCUACCAAGCCGACGAUCUGUAGCUGGUCUGAGAGGACGACCAGCCACACUGGGACUGAGACACGGCCCAGACUCCUACGGGAGGCAGCAGUGGGGAAUUUUGGACAAUGGGCGCAAGCCUGAUCCAGCAAUGCCGCGUGCAGGAUGAAGGCCUUCGGGUUGUAAACUGCUUUUGUACGGAACGAAAAGCUCUGGGUUAAUACCCUGGGGUCAUGACGGUACCGUAAGAAUAAGCACCGGCUAACUACGUGCCAGCCGCCGCUGUAACAC
rnacentral:rRNA from 1 species